UACGGGGGGGCAAGCGUUGUUCGGAAUUACUGGGCGUAAAGGGCGUGUAGGCGGGUGGACAAGUCUCUCGUGAAAGCCCACGGCUCAACCGUGGAAUUGCGGGAGAUACUGUCUGUCUUGAGUCCGGGAGAGGAGGGUGGAAUUCCUAGUGUAGCGGUGAAAUGCGUAGAUAUUGGGAGGAACACCGGUGGCGAAGGCGGCUCUCUGGACCGGUACUGACGCUGAGGCGCGAAAGCUAGGGGAGCAAACGGG
rnacentral:rRNA from 1 species